AUUGAACGCUGGCGGCAGGCUUAACACAUGCAAGUCGAGCGGAGACUUCGGUCUUAGCGGCGAACGGGUGAGUAAUACCUAGGAAUCUGCCUAUUAGUGGGGGAUAACGGCUCGAAAGGGUCGCUAAUACCGCAUACGUCCUACGGGAGAAAGUGGGGGAUCUUCGGACCUCACGCUAAUAGAUGAGCCUAGGCCGGAUUAGCUAGUUGGUAGGGUAAAGGCCUACCAAGGCGACGAUCCGUAGCUGGUCUGAGAGGAUGAUCAGCCACACUGGAACUGAGACACGGUCCAGACUCCUACGGGAGGCAGCAGUGGGGAAUAUUGGACAAUGGGCGCAAGCCUGAUCCAGCCAUGCCGCGUGUGUGAA
rnacentral:rRNA from 1 species